GACGAACGCUGGCGGCGUGCUUAACACAUGCAAGUCGUACGGUAAGGCCCUUUCGGGGGUACACGAGUGGCGAACGGGUGCGUAACACGUGCGUAACCUGCCCACAACUUUGGGAUAACGCUAGGAAACUGGUGCUAAUACUGGAUAUGUGCUCCUGCUGCAUGGUGGGGGUUGGAAAGCUCCGGCGGUUGUGGAUGGACUCGCGGCCUUUCAGCUUGUUGGUGGGGUAGUGGCCUACCAAGGCGGCGACGGGUAGCCGGCCUGAGAGGGUGACCGGCCACAUUGGGACUGAGAUACGGCCCAGACUCCUACGGGAGGCAGCAGUGGGGAAUAUUGCACAAUGGGCGCAAGCCUGAUGCAGCAACGCCGCGUGCGGGAUGACGGCCUUCGGGUUGUAAACCGCUUUCAGCAGGGACGAAGCUUUUUGUGACGGUACCUGCAGAAGAAGCACCGGCUAACUACGUG
rnacentral:rRNA from 1 species